GAAAGUAGCAAAAAAGUGUUGUUGAUAUCAUUGGAUAUAUUGUGGCAUUGAUAACAUAUGGCAAUAUAUCUUCUUGAUGACUUUAUAAACUUCUAUUGUAUCAUCAAUACUGAAUAGUUUCAUAUGUACGUCCACCAUGCAAGUAUGUUUUGUGGUAUUUAAGAGGUUUUAGAGUAGGUUUCCAGAAUGCUUAAAAAACUUCUAAACAUAUGAGUCUUUUAUUGGUAUGGGAAUUGGAUGGAUGCUUUAAUUUGGAUUUGCUAACUGUAUUGGUGUUUCUGGAGGUGAAACUUGUUUUAGCAUGGAGUAUGAAGCAUCAACAAUGUUUGACAUAUGAAAUGCCGUGAUCAGAAUACUUGUGCCUGCACUUAUAGAGCCAAUUAAUGGAGGAGAGUACUUCCAAUGCAUCAUAAUUUCAUUAUUUAUCAACAAAGAAAGAUGCAAUGCCCAAAUAAAGCUUAUUAUGCAGCCAAGGUUCCAAAUUGGCCCAGGUUGAUCUAAUGGAAGAUCAAAACGUCACUUGCUCUCUUGAUAAAUGUUUUAGCCAAUAUCAAGGGUCCAAUUGGACUGUAGGACAUCCAAUUGGGUCCACAAAUCCAAUCAAAUGGCCCUGAUUGCGCAACAAAGCAGCUCGAAUGUGGGGCCCACAAGUCCAACUGAUUGAUUUCUAUUUUAUUAUAUUUUUUAUUUUUCCACAAACCAUAUGAGAUAGAAAAGGUAAAUUUGUGCAAUCGUAUAACUUCAAUAGUCCCAUACGAUUGUGUAUAUUGGUGAUUUAUUGUAUGUUUUUGAAUCUUGAAUUGUUUCCAAUGUCUGCUUGUUUCUUUUUUAA